rnacentral:lncRNA from 10 species
GCAACAUGGCAAAAAAACCCGUCUCUACCAAAAAUACAAAAAAUUGCUGGGCAUGGUGGCACAUGCCUGUAGUCCCAGCUACUCGGAGGGCUGAAGCGGGAGGAUUGCUUGAGCCCAGAAGGUCAAGUCUGCAGUGAGCCCUGAUCACACCACUGUACUCCAACUUGGGCAACAGAGUGAGACCCUGUCUCAAAAAAAUUAUUACUUUCUACUUUCUGAAUUAACAUGAAGGAGCAUAAAUAAAAUUUUGAAGAGGUUCAUGUGGUCAGAGGGGUAAACUGUCAUAUUCCAAAGAAAAGUGAAGAUAUCUUGAAGUAAAACUUCUUCCAAGUGAGCUGUGCUUAUUAAGUACCAAAUGGGAUCCAAUUUAUUUGCAGUAUUUAAUCUAAUGCAGUCAGAGGGCAUAGCAGUUCUGACGAAGUCUGAUGAAGGAGGAACUCUGUUUACUUCCACCCGCUCCUUCUCCCUGGAUUAAAACACCACGAAUUUUCUGCUCUUUGCUUUUCUUGAAUAAGUUACCAAAAAAGAGCAGAACUAAGUCAACACCAAACUGCCCUUUGGAUAAACAAGAUGGAGCAGAUUUAUUUACCUUGGAACAUGAUUUUGAAUUCAAGCCAUGAAGUACACUGGAGGAAUGCCUUACAUCUACUAAUUAUUCAUUUUGGAAUUCCAAUUUUGACUCAAGCCCCUGUCACUGCGACUUUUCUCAUCCCUUGAUCACCUCACCUGGGGAAUACAUAAGACUGUGGCCUUCCUGACAGUCUCCAUUCAAAUCCAAUUGCCUACGUCGCCAGAAGUCUUUCUGGAGUGCCUCUUGCCACAUCAAUGCAGACUCAUGAUCAUCAUGAAGCCAGUUCCUUAUUACUCACCACAUUAAAUCUUUUCUGGGUAGAGAUAGGGUCUCACUAUGUUGCUCAGGCUGGUCUCAAACUCCUGGACUCAAGCUAUCCUUCUGCCUUGGCCUCCCAAAAUGCUGGAAUUACAGGUGUGGGACACUGUGCCCAGCCACCACAUCAAGUCAUAAGCUAAAUCCUGCAUUUCUUUCGUCAUGAUGUAUGCAUAGC